rnacentral:rRNA from 1 species
UACGUAGGGGGCUAGCGUUGUUCGGAUUUACUGGGCGUAAAGCGCACGUAGGCGGUUUGUUAAGUCAGAGGUGAAAUCCCGGAGCUCAACUCCGGAACUGCCUUUGAUACUGGCAAGCUAGAGUCCGGAAGAGGUAAGUGGAACUCCUAGUGUAGAGGUGGAAUUCGUAGAUAUUAGGAAGAACACCAGUGGCGAAGGCGGCUUACUGGUCCGGAACUGACGCUGAGGUGCGAAAGCGUGGGGAGCAAACAGG